rnacentral:rRNA from 1 species
UACGAAGGGUGCAAGCGUUACUCGGAAUUACUGGGCGUAAAGCGUGCGUAGGUGGUGAGUUAAGUCUGUCGUGAAAGCCCCGGGCUCAACCUGGGAAUGGCGAUGGAUACUGGCUCGCUAGAGUGCGGUAGAGGAGAGUGGAAUUCCCGGUGUAGCAGGUGAAAUGCGCAGAGUAUCGAGGAGACACGGUGGCGAAGGCGG